ACAGACCAAUAGAAAAUCAACAGCUAUUUUACCCUAUGUAAUCUCUGAAGCAGGACCACGCUAUUUGGGUACCAUGGCAACUCUCCUGAGAAAACUGUUUCCACAGAUUUGGAACCCAUGGAUACAGAGAGUUGACUGAAUUUAAGAGAACCACAAGAGCUAUAAACAGCAACUUUCUUCUUCUUAGAAGAAAUAUUCUGAAGAAACUAGAACAUGAAACAGACCCAGAAGUUGCCCCAGCUCCCAAGUGAACUUUUAGCAGCAGCAAGAGUGACGGCAGCAGCAAGAGUGACAGCAGCAGCAGGAACUCAUAGGAACCCAGAACACUGAAAGAGGCAGAUCUCUGAUCAGAGUCACUGUGGUCCCAGGAGGAUGAGGUGAAACCAUCCUGCCUUUCUCUUUUUUCUGACAAAUGCUUACCCCCGUCACCUCCACCCUCCCCCAAGGUAAAGGCAUUUGACAUGGAUAAGUUCUGAGUUAGUCAAACACAACAGCCUUGCAAAUGGUCUUCCAGGGACUCACAAGAGAGAUCAAAUAAUAAUUCUCUGGAAUCAAGGCUUUGAACAAGCUGGAGUUGAGUUCUGCCCCCCUGCACUGCUUCCAGGCUGCUAGUUUUCACCAUAGCUGUUGGCAAUUCGUUUUUGAGGCUCCUGUUAAAACUGAAAGCAAGAGAUGGAACUUGAGGUACUGAAAGCACGACCGAUGCUCACUGGUUUUCUCCUGCUGCCAUCACUUUUCUUGAUUAAAUACUCUCUAGAUUGUUGCAAGACUUUAGUUAACUUCUAAAGUUCUGAUAAAAUCAAC
ensembl:lncRNA